GGCAGAAAAUAUGGGCAAGAGAAGGGGGACCAACUUGAAGUACUUAAGUAGAGGGGAGGAGACCACUACCACCACCAUCUACCUCUCCCUUUCAAAAGUCUUGAGGGACGUAUGGGUAUUGUGAGGUGGAGGAGGUAGGUCUCACUAAUUAGAGCUAAGAUUAGGAUUACCAUGAAAAUGUGAGGUGGAGGAGGUGGAUCUUACUAAUUAGGAUUAGGAUUAGGAUUACCAUGAAAGUAUGAGGUGAAAGAGGUAGAUCUCACUAAUUAGGGUUAAGAUUCGAGUUACCAUGAAAGUAUGAGGUGGAAGAGGUGGGACUCACUAAUUAGGAUUAGGAUUAGGGUUAUCGUGAAAGUGUGAGGCAGAUGAGGGUGUUGUGUAUGUGCAUCUCAAUCUUGAUACUACUUGUGGCUAUUUUUGAUGGUGAAAGCACCUUCUCCUCUUUGAAGCCAACAACCUUCCAAAUAUGUCAAUUUUUGAUUCAUUGAUCCCCCUUUAAGGCAUUGACGUGAG
rnacentral:lncRNA from 1 species